rnacentral:misc_RNA from 1 species
UAUGAAGAACGUAGCGAAAUGCGAUAAGUAAUGUGAAUUGCAGAAUUCAGUGAAUCAUCGAAUCUUUGAACGCACAUUGCGCCCCCUGGUAUUCCGGGGGGCAUGCCUGUUCGAGCGUCAUUACAACCCUCAAGCUCUGCUUGGUAUUGGGCCCCGCCAGUUCUGGCGGGCCCUAAAGUCAGUGGCGGUGCCUUCCGGCUCCGAGCGUAGUAAUUCUUCUCGCUCUGGAGACCCGGUUGUGUGCUUGCCAACAACCCCCAAUUUUUUAAGGUUGACCUCGGAUCAGGUAGGGAUACCCGCUGAACUUAAGCAUAUCAAUAAGCGGAGGA